UCUUAUUAUUGAAGGAGACGAUUAAAAGGGAAUGGGGUGAGAGUCCCCGACUGUCCCGCAGCUGUGAGCCGCCCUUAUAUCGGGCGCGAACAACGAUGCCACUGAGACUUUUUUCAAUGUUGAAUGUUAAGUGUUGAAUGUUGAAUUCUCGGGAAGGCGUUCGCGUCUGGGCGGCAAGUCAGAAGACCUGCCGAAAAUAU
rnacentral:ncRNA from 1 species